GACGAACGCUGGCGGCGUGCCUAAUACAUGCAAGUUGAGCGCUGAAGGUUGGUACUUGUACCGACUGGAUGAGCAGCGAACGGGUGAGUAACGCGUGGGGAAUCUGCCUUUGAGCGGGGGACAACAUUUGGAAACGAAUGCUAAUACCGCAUAAAAACUUUAAACACAAGUUUUAAGUUUGAAAGAUGCAAUUGCAUCACUCAAAGAUGAUCCCGCGUUGUAUUAGCUAGUUGGUGAGGUAAAGGCUCACCAAGGCGAUGAUACAUAGCCGACCUGAGAGGGGGAUCUGCCACAUUGGGACCGUAACACGGCCCAAACUCCUACGGGGGGCAGAAGUAGGGAAUCUUCGGCAAUGGACGAAAGUCUGACCAAGCAACGCCGCGUGAGUGAAGAAGGUUUUCGGAUCGUAAAACUCUGUUGGUAGAGAAGAACGUUGGUGAGAGUGGAAAGCUCAUCAAGUGACGGUAACUACCCAGAAAGGGACGGCUAACUACGUGCCAGCAGCCGCUGUAACAC
rnacentral:rRNA from 1 species